rnacentral:rRNA from 1 species
UUCUAGUCUUAUCGGUGGAUCACUCGGCUCGUGGAUCGAUGAAGAACGCAGCCAACUGCGAUAAUUAGUGUGAACUGCAGAAACCUUGAACACAGAACUUUCGAAUGCACAUUGCGCCAUUGGAGUGACAUCCAUUGGCACGCCUGGUUCAGGGUCGU